UUUAAUGUUCAUGAAUGUCAAUGUCUGCCUUGUGUGAUGUGAACGUGCUACAGUAAGACAUGUCUGUGCUCUGUGGGCUCGCGGGACGAAGGGACGGUUGAGCGUCAAAGAGCAAGAAAGUGCAGGUAAGGAGCCCCGAAGCACCGAGGUAAGGAAGUCAAUUGGCUCGAUUUGGAUUUAGGAGCUAAAUGACAAUCAUUUGGCAGCUAAGAAGAUUGUACACUUGUCUUAAGUCUGUAGAUGUAUACAUAAAAAAAAAAUUACUUUGUCACCAACUAAAACACUUCAGAAGAAAUACACCGUUAAAGAGGUUAAAUAUUGUAUUUCAUACACUCACCAUUUCUGUGAUCUUCAGUAUUGAUCGUUUGGAUGGGAAAAAGUCCAGGUCCACCUCCAUGACUGACAGUUGCUGUUUUUCUGACUUUUUAGCACACACACACACACACACACAUUCACUUCCUGAAUCAGAGUACCUGUGUGCUUCAGGAAACGCAACACCAGGUGUAGAAACCGUACAGUUCUAAAACACACUGUCAAAAACCCAAGGCACAGGGCAGGGCGUCAAACCCGGGCAGGAUGCCUGGUGUCACAGGGUGGCACGUGGAUCGAAACGUCGACCGAGAACCGGGCCUUUAUGUCUGACGUCACAGUGUGACCUCACAAAUGUCAUUUUGACCACACGGACACAGAUCCCCACAGACGCGCUGUAAAUCUUAUGGUAAUCUGUCCCAGGGUGUUUAUGCAACAUUUACCUGUAGGGCCCACAGAUAGUGGUUAGCAUCGGCAUUUGUUCAUCUCACAGUGAGGUUUUGACCCCGAGUACAGCUGCCCAAAUCAGACUCUCAUGGGGUAAAAGCCCCGAGCCACGAACGGUAGGAUGGUGAUCUUUCUUCGUCGUUCAAUAGGCGUACCUGGGCGGGCGCUGUGAGGAACCAGGCCGAGGCCAUCGGGCGCCCAGCGGAGGAGGCCAGACUGUACCGCGGGCCCAUCGAAUCGAGGCGUACCUGGAGGCCAUUCACCAGCUCUACGAAGACUGGCUGAUUAAACAAAGCAGUUUUCCAGUUCCAGCAGCGGUCCAGGUGCUGGCGGCUGAAAGGGACCCUCCGAAGGUCAUGCAGCAGUGAGAGCGGAACCUCGAGAAGAUGUUCGACAAGUCCGGUCUGCGGCGGCUGAGCAAACUGGUGGAGGAAGAGCGACAUUAGAACGUGUAAUAGACCGCGACGAUUGAUUGAGCGAGUUGCGAACAGACGUUGUGACUGUUUGAUGGAUUUAUUUGUUAGACACAUGAAUAAAUGAAAAGAAUAAAAUUCCCUGUUCAGUGUUGUCUGUGACGAGUAGCGAGUGUAGUUUGUAGUAGACUUGAAUAGUACAAAAAUCACAAUGAUAGGUGGUGAACUUAUUUAUUAUUAAUAAAUAAUCCUUAUAUAUAUAUAUAUAGCCACCAAGAAACCAAAAAAAACAGGUGUGGAACUUAUAUAUAUAUAUAUAUAUAUAUAUAUUCUUUUUUUUUUUUUUUUUUUUAAAGUCCCAGACCUGCUUUUCCCGGGAAAAAAGAGAAAAGAAGGUGAUAGAAAAAAAAAAGGAAAGAAGGUGAUUGAAAAAAAAAAGGAAAGAAGGUGAUAGGAAAAAAAGAGGAAAGAAGGUGAUAGGAAAAAAAAAGAGGAAAGAAGGUGAUUGAAAAAAAAGAGGAAAGAAGGUGAUUGAAAAAAAAAGAGGAAAGAAGGUGAUUGAAAAAAAAAGAGGAAAGAAGGUGAUUGAAAAAAAAAAAAAAGGAAAGAAGGUGAUUGAAAAAAAAGAGGAAAGAAGGUGAUUGAAAAAAAAGAGGAAAGAAGGUGAUUGAAAAAAAAGAGGAAAGAAGGUGAUUGAAAAAAAAAAGGAAAGAAGGUGAUAGAAAAAAAAGAGGAAAGGUGAUAGAAAAAAAAAGAGGAAAGGUGAUAGAAAAAAAAGAGGGAAAGAAGGUGAUGAUUAAUCGGCGUACCUGGGCAAGCGCUGUAAGGAACCAGGCGUAGGCCAUCAGACACCCAGCGGAGGAGGCCAGACUGUACCACAGACCCAUUGAAUCAAGGUAAGCAAAAAUCUCAGGACCCCAAGGGGAAAUCCUCUGUUUGCAUUCUUAUUUUAUUAUUUUUUUUUUCCUUUUAUUUCAGGAGUACGGGUGAAGGUCUCGGGUGAGAGGAAGGUGAAGGCGUUUGGGAGGAGUCUGCCUGACCGAGGCUGUGAGGACCCUGUCCAAACGUGAGCCUCUGACUACACUGACCAGACCAGACCUUCGCUGAACAGGAAGAUGCACCACAUCCAAGAGUACACAGUUUUGACAGAACCCGUUUCAAACCGGAGGAACGUGCGAGGACACGACCCGCCGGGUUUGAUGUAUCGGGAUCCGGCGAGAUGGGGACUCGCUCUACAGACCUACGUCCAGCUGACGAUGCUGGAUCGACACCUCCAACACACAGAAGCUCCAUUGAGGAUGAUGGAGAGAUCGCUGUACAGCGCUAAAUACAUCUUUGUGGAAAACCUGUACAGAAGGUGCGGUUCACAUUCCAAAGCCAAAUAGACACGGCGCCUACACUGUCGUUCGCCGUUUGUACACCGCAGCUGUCGGUCGGUAUCGUCGACCAAACCGAUGAGUGUGAUCGUCCAACGUCGGUCAGGGCGGCCGGAUAAAGGUUUUCAUCGGGCAUGCAGAUGAAUCGUGUCUUCCUGAGGUAUAGACGAGGAAUGAAGAAAUGACUCCGUCGACACUGUUCUGGGUCUACGAGCAAAUUAUUUAUUUCAACCAAAACAGUAUCGAUCCGAACGCCCAAGCUGAUCGGGAGAGGAGGAAGCCGAUAUGUGCUUCUACGAGCUGUGGACCGACUGCUCGAAGUUAUAUCCGAGUGUCAUCUGUAUAGUGUCGUCCCAUGAGAAGACAUAAUGAAAUAUUAGCAGAAACGUGAGGGGUGUACUCGCUUUUGUGAGAUACUGUAGAUGUUUGAUGUCCUGAUGAACUGUAAACUUAUAAAGAACCUCCUUAGAUGUUCUUGUAGACACUUUAGGAUUUCAUUCACAGCUAUGAAGAAAAUGUUAUUGAAGUACUAAUGUAUGAAAUCCACAUCAACUCCAUCACAGUCAUAUGAUUAAGUAUGUGUAGUGUAACUUGGUGGAGAAUCACAGGCUUCGUUCUGAGUCAGUAGGCAGACGUUGCUGGAUGCAGAUGUGUCCUCACUGUGAAACGACCUCGCCGAUAAGCAAUCCUGGCAGCCGGAAGACGCAGCGCUCCCAAAGCCCGCGUGAUCGAUUAGAGUAGGAUAGAUACAAGUAGGUUCUCCCGGCAGUUCCGCAACAGAAGGACAAAGUGGUAUCAUCGAAGUCGGUAAUCGUUUGUGUCGUUCUGACCGUACGUGUCAUUGACGAGCUCUUGUAAGGAUUAGCGAUGUGUGAACACAUUAUAUAGAUGUGUAG